ensembl:lncRNA
GUCAGUUCUUCAUGGUGGACAAAGGGAUACAAAACCUAUUCCGUUCUGACUCUCCACAGCAGUACCAGGCCCCAGCCCAGCCACCACCUCCAGCCUCUCCUCCCGUCGUCUCCCCCCCAGAGGGUGACCACCACCUAGCCCUGCGAGCCUCCGACGGACCCCUGCCCGGCUCCUUCCCCUACUCCUCUGCCACUCAUCUCAAACGUCUCCACACCGCCCCCAUCUGCUCCUCCAACACAGAGACAGAGACAGCCCAGCAAGAGCCACCGGGCCUGGGCAGGCCCUCCAUCGCCUGCUCCCUGGGAUCCAACCGUCCAGCCGACGACCAGGAACAAACCCAAGACGACGCGGUCUCCUCCAGCACUGACCCCCAGGGGAGCACUGUGGACCCCCACCUCCAGACCCACCCUUACAGAGUCAGACCCCGAGCCCACCGACGAGGGCCUCCGUCGGGGAAGAUCAGCUCGCCCUGCCUGGAGAGGCUGCUCCAGUCCAAGGAGAGCAUCAUCUCACCCAGAAACAUGGGAGGUCAGAGUCCGGGAGGUGGUGGGGAGAGCAUCAUCUCACCCAGAAACAUGGGAGGUCAGAGUCCGGGAGGUGGUGGGGAGAGCAUCAUCUCACCCAGAAACAUGGGAGGUCAGAGUCCGGGAGGUGGUGGGGAGAGCAUCAUCUCACCCAGAAACAUGGGAGGUCAGAGUCCGGGAGGUGGUGGGGAGAGCAGCCGUUCGUAACAGCUAGACUCAGACAUGGUCCAUGGAGGAGAUAAGGACUGAUCUGGGCACAGAGUUGACCCGGGAGACACUGAGCUGUAUCUUUCCACAACAGGCUCCCCAAUACAGCAGGGGGCAAAGGUCGGUGUCUGAGCGGGACGCUGUCUCUUUAAGAGCUGUGUGUCAUGUGAUCCAUCAUGUGAUCCAACUACGGUUGGUUUAUCUGCAGUAAGACACUGAGACAUGGAGGAGACAUAUUAUAGACCUGCAGUAAGACACAGAGACAUGGAGGAGAGGAGACAUAUUAUAGACCUGCAGUAAGACACUGAGACAUGGAGGAGACAUAUUAUAGACCUGCAGUAAGACACAGAGACAUGGAGGAGACAUAUUAUAGACCUGCAGUAAGACACAGAGACAUGGAGGAGACAUAUUAUAGACCUGCAGUAAGACACAGAGACAUGGAGGAGACAUAUUAUAGACCUGCAGUAAGACACAGAGACAUGGAGGAGACAUAUUAUAGACCUGCAGUAAGACACAGAGACAUGGAGGUGAGGAUACAUAUUAUAGACCUGCAGUAAGACACUGAGACAUGGAGGAGAGGAGACAUAUUAUAGACCUGCAGUAAGACACAGAGACAUGGAGGAGACAUAUUAUAGACCUGAAGUAAGACACAGAGACAUGGAGGAGACAUAUUAUAGACCUGCAGUAAGACACUGAGACAUGGAGGAGAGGAGACAUAUUAUAGACCUGCAGUAAGACACAGAGACAUGGAGGAGAGGAGACAUAUUAUAGACCUGCAGUAAGACACAGAGACAUGGAGGAGAGGAGACAUAUUAUAGACCUGCAGUAAGACACAGAGACAUGGAGGAGACAUAUUAUAGACCUGCAGUAAGACACAGAGACAUGGAGGAGA